UGGCUCUUAAGAUCUGGAACACCCCCCCC
rnacentral:piRNA from 1 species